rnacentral:rRNA from 1 species
UUGAACGCUGGCGGCAUGCCUAACACAUGCAAGUCGAACGGGGUAGCAAUACAACUAGUGGCGGACGGGUGAGGAAUACAUAGGAAUUUGCCUUUAGGUGGGGGAUAGUCCGGGGAAACUCGGUUUAAUACCGCAUGAUGUCGCAAGACCAAAGCAGGGGAUCGCAAGACCUUGCGCCUUUAGAGAAGCCUAUGUCGGAUUAGCUAGUUGGUAGGGUAACGGCCUACCAAGGCGACGAUCCGUAACUGGUCUGAGAGGACGAUCAGUCACACCGGAACUGAGACACGGCCCAGACUCCUACGGGAGGCAGCAGUGGGGAAUCUUGCGCAAUGCGCGAAAGCGUGACGCAGCAACACCGCGUGAGGGAAGACGGGCCUUCGGGUUGGUAAACCUCUUUCUAGGAGGGACGAAGGGUGACCGGUGAAUAGCCGUGUUGCUUGACGGUACC